rnacentral:lncRNA from 1 species
ACAUGGGAUCUACAUUCAUAUAUAUAUAUAUAUAUAUAUAUAUAUAUAUAUAUAUAUAUAUAUAUAUUAACAUCAUAAUAUAUAUAUUGUAACAACGUAAGUGAAUAAUAACAAUAGUAUCACGUAAAUAAAAAGAAUGUCUAUUAGCGAUUUACAACUUAAUUCUGGAAAUAGAGGCUCCAAACUUCACAGCCAAUCGAUCAGGGAUUGCAUACGUCUAGAAUUCAGCAUCAUCUUCACAACAACUUUACAACAGCUUCUUCUUCUGAGCAACGUUGGCUAUAGCAAGGGUGAGCACAUGUCGUAGUGUGGGGAAAAUAUGAAUACAAGGUUUAACAAGGAAAGGUUGACUGGUUGACUACAUUAAACAUUUUUAGUUGGUCAAAUUUUAUUAGCACCUGAUUAUUAAGAUAUAAGUAUAUACCAACCCACAAUUAUCAAGAACAUAGGCUAUAAGCAUAUAGCAGAAACAUAACCAUAAACCACAAUUUAAGUCCAUCUUCAAGUUCAAUUAUCAUGUGAGGGUGCAGACCGCUCUUGAACGUGAGCACAGCUGAUAUAUCAGUUUUACACUCUCCAGAGGUUGUACAUCUUUACCCACAAGUCGCGUAAAAGUUUAAAAAAACUUUAGACCCUAUGCUGAUCAGGCACUCAUCACACUACCGAGGUGUGACUUCAUAGGGACGCUACGAGGCCUUUACAAAGAUUUCCUAGUAAGGAUAGCUCGCUAAGGUUUCAGGAUCAGCGAAUGCAUAAACCUCUCUCAAACUGCGAAGCUACCAUAGAGCAUAUCAGUUUGAGGGCUGGGCUAUACAUCAACUACUGUCUCGCCCUCUUGCCCUUUCGGUAAAGCUACCAUAAACUAGAGUUUCUAAUUAAUUAGCCAAGACCAGAGCCCAUUAGUCCUUGUGGUCGUACUGUUUUCCUGGGUGGUCACUUCAUGUUCCAAUUAAGCAUGGUGAUGUUGUAUUAAUGAAAGGUAUAGCAUAAAUAAAAUACAUUUAUCAUCAUUUUUCAUUAAUUAGAACCACCAUAACCCAAAUAUAGCAGCUAAGCAUAACUACCCAACAGAAAGAUAAACCUAGGUUUACAAGGAAUGAUCAUAAAAGCUAGGCCAAUCUUAGAGGACCCAUCAAUAUUAAAUGCAAGCAUAUGCAAUAGUGAUUUAAAUAUAGUUAUUGGGACAAAAGCACAAAGGACACACUUGCCUUUAUCUAGAGUACCGCUGCUCAUAUUAUCUUCAGCUCUUGUUCUUCAAAGCUCUCGAACGACGUUCCUUCUACUCGCAUCAAUCAUCAGGCACAACCAUACAAAGCAAACAACAAUCGCAACUAAGAAUAAUAUACCAAUCAAGAAAAAUUUUAAAAUAGCGUACUAAAGGAUAUGGCUCGAUUCUAGCAACGCAAGGGACGAGAAAGACUAGAAACAAUGCUAUGGUUGAAAAGACAAAGCUAUCGAGAGAUUAUUACCAAACAACAAAAGACUAGGUACUAGAUAUAUUUUAAGUUAAUAAAAUCAUGUGUAAAAGUUAUUUCGGAGAAACAGCUUAUGUUAGAAUUAACUCAAAUUAUAUUAAUAUUUGAAAAAAACCGCAAUAAAACUUAAUCAAAUUUUUAUUUGUAACUGUGUAUGUACAAAUUAUACAAAUUAAUCAUUUAUUUGAAAAAUAACUUAGGUGAGAACAUCUAAGGGCAUAGCUUUAUGAUUCGGGUUGAACUAACCAAAUAUAAUUAAAAAUACAUUUAUAUUCAUAUUAAUCAAAUUAAUAUUUAGUUAUGAAAAUUCGAGAUAUAACUUAUGUAGCUUUUAUUCAUAAAAUAAAUUAAAUAACAUUAAUCAAAUUGAGUUUAGUAUGAAAAGCUGAGGUAUAUCUCUAAUUAAAUAAGCAUUAAUCAAAUUAAUAUUAGUAUGAAAAUAUGGGGUUAACUCUAAUUAGAUUUUAAUUAGAAAAGCAAGUGUAUAAGUCCUUAAUCAUAUUAAUAUUUUAAAUAAAUUAUAAAAUAAAGAACAUGAUUAACAUUGCUUCUAACACGUUGUUUAAGUUAACACAACAAAAAUCGAUUGAAACGGGGCUAAAACGUAGAAUCUAUGAGCUAAAUAAGUUACAGGGGUCUAAUCAUGAUUAAGCCUAGGCAACAGGGGCUAGCAAAGAAGACCUGCAAGACACAUGAAACAAUGCUCGCAAAAGAGGUAAGCCUCGAGGUCAGAUCUGUUAAAUGAUAGGCUACGACUGGUUUGCAAAGAUCUGGAAAGGUCCAGGGAGUUUUAUGGAAAACUCGCAAGACACAAGAAAUAAGGUAAACGUUACAUGAUUCUUUAGGGGUUCUUUUGCAAAGAGCUCGGGCCUGGCUGCCAUGGCGGACGGGCUCACUGGCCGGCGUGAUAGACGGCGGUCCGGCGGUCUAGGCUUGCGGCUGAGGUGAGGAAUCGAGAGAGGAAGUCGAGGGGGAUUCGCGUGGAGGUGAUCACCGGCGGAGGAGAGGACGGAGGUGGACGGCAUCGGCGGAGGCUUCAUGGCGGACGGCGACCGACGACGGGCAGCUCGGGUCUUCACGUGGCGGCGGUGCUCCGGCGAUCGAUUGAUGAUGAGGAUGGGCUGGAUAGGUGCGUCUCGUCGUCGCGGUGCUCCCCGUGGUGCCAGCUCCCUCCGGCGGCAGACGAGCCCGACGAAUCGGCCGGGGAAGACCGUGACGGCUCCCUGCUUCUCCAGCUCCAGGCGGCGGCGCUGAAUGGACGAGGAGCUCUGGCGGCAAUUCAACGGCGGCAGGUGGUGGAAAGCGUGCGGCUCAGCGAUACCGUCUUCCUGGCAGCGCUAGCUUGCUCCGGUGGUCGACGAGCACGGCGAAUCGGGCGAGCCGGCGGUGGUGCUCUGCUCCGGAAGCUGCUGGUGGCGGCGCGUGAUGCAGAGCAAGGGUGAGGCGCGGCGCAGAAGCGAGCGGGGCAACAGGGCGAGCAGGGGAGGAGGCGUCGCCCUUUAUAGGGCUGCGGGGCGAGCCCUGGCGUGGCGCGCACGCCGAGGGAAAGGCCGGCGGCGGCGCGCCGUGCUGUGCCUGGAGUCCGAGGCAAGCAACGACAGCUGGGUCCGGAUGGGCUCGGUUAGGCCCCAAGCAGGUCUGGACCGGGCCUCGCAGGCUCGGCCCGAGGGAAAGAAUUUCUUUUUUUGAAAUAAUUCCCGUGAAAGAAAAUUUAGGAAACAAAUCUAGAUACUUCAUUUAAUUCACGAAAAAUACUCCAAAAAUUCCAAAAAUUCAAGAAAAAUUCAUAGAGACAGAUUGGGACACGAUGAGUCCAAAUAAAUACUUGGAGCUUGGAGCUCGUGAAAAAGAUUCUACAACCUUCUAAUAAAUAGAUAUAUCUCUAAAAAAAUGCAAAUAAAUAUCAGAAAAAUCUGGAAAAUUCUUAGUGGAAUCUAAACAUUACAAAAACGUAUUUUUAAAACCUUUGCACUCACGAAACACCACGAUGCAUCGGUACGAAUGCAACACACAUAUAACCAUUUUAUUCAAUUUAGAAAAAAAACAACCAAUUAUUUUUUCUAUAUUAAAUUACCUGUCGAAAAAAUAAAUGUUGAGAAAAUUUUAAAAAAUAUGAGAAAAUUAUUGUUUAAUUAUUCUUUCUAAUUAAAUUCUCAAAUUCAAAAAUUCCAUGGUGCGACAAUUUGCGGUUGUUUUUCAGUUUCCGGCCUGCUUCGAUCCGCGGCUUCGUCCUGCUCAAGAGUGAAAAACUGGGCUUCCAUGGGCCUAGCGACAUGGCCCCAUACGUUCAGGGAAAACAAGACUCGGCCUAUGGGCUAUGGCCGGCCAUUAGCAUGUUCGAAUUCUCGAAACGCGCGCCAGUAGUUGGGCCUGGCCCAGUGUACGUAUAAUACGAGAUACGACUGAAUGGAGGGAAAUUGAAACCGGAGAAUUGAAAAUCUUUGUGAAAUCAUGUGAGCAGCGGAUGCCUCAAAACAGCUAGCGUCUACUCCUGUGAUGAGGAAAUCCGCAGGCCAGCGCAGGCCGUGCAUGAUACAGAAUCGCCCACGAUGAUGACGAUUUGCUUGUUCAUCAGAAUCUCCCACACGCCUGCUUCAGCGCUAGCGAUGGAAGAAGCCACAUGGUCAUCAUGGAGCUAGCAGCCUGCCUGCCCACGCGGCCACGUCGAAGCAGCGGGCAGUGCAGAUGACAGAUGAGAUCGCGGCUGCAAAGGAAAGCGAAAGGCAAGGAGGGGACGCGUGGGGGCAAUCCCGAGCGUAUCGGCCGCGCAGGGAGAAGCCGCUUUCCCGGCGAUCGGUGGCGGAUUCGGGAGGAGACCGCGAAGCGAUCGCAUCCUGCUGCUGCAGCUGCUGCUGAGGGUGGGUGGGCUCCGAUGCGAUCCGUCGUCCAAACGAAGAAAGAGACUGGAUCUCAUCGUGUCCAGUGGCCAGUGGUAGCUUGGCUGUGGAUGAUGUCGAUGGGAGCUAGCUGCAGACGACUCCCAUCGCGUCCGUUGCUAACAAGCCAUAUAUGUACUCUAAUCUCUUGGGAUCACAAAUUUACAAGCAAGUGGUUACAGGCUACAGAAGCAGCACAUUGUUUUUUACCUUUUUUUAUUUAUACUAACGACAACUUGGUUAACUGAUGAUACCUGAGGAACUCACCAAAUCGCCAAAACGGAUCGUCCGUAUCUUUCACCCUUUCAGGUCACCACGGCAAGCAGACAAACCAAGAACUCAAAGCCAGAUAUGAUAGCAGUAGGAAAAGAGGGAUGGAACAAAAGGAAAUGGUGGGUGAACCCUUUUCUAUCUGCAGUCUGCUCCAGAAUACAGAGAGGAGGAGGAGGAGGGGGUCCGGCUCAUGAUGCUGUUGCCUGCCCGGGUCUCUAUUCUAUUCUGUUGCGGAUGGAGUCAAUUCGUGGCAAGAUUUGGAGCAAAUCCGCCCCCGGAUCUUGCUUUUCCAUGCGGUGGGAUUUUCUUAGUCACCACAUAUCUUUCCUCUCCCCCUUCGCUUUCCCUCAUAUCUCCUGGAAUCCUUUCAUGUGCCUCAGUGCUUGUAUAUAUACCAACUCAACCACACCCUUAAAAAAGGCAAGCAAAGCCCCAUACCAAGCACACGCACCUCUCUGCUUUUAGUUUCCUCUACAACUCUUCCUCUCUGCAGCUGCUCAUACCAUCAUCCUUCCUAGUCAGACACAAGAACACGAGCAGGGGGAGUUUCUUCCAUGGCGGUGGCCACGGAGACUCCGUUCCACGUCCUGGCCGUGGACGACAGCCUCCCAGACAGGAAGCUCAUCGAGAGGCUCCUCAAGACCUCUUCAUUCCACGUCACCACUGUCGAUUCCGGGAGCAAGGCUCUCGAGUUCCUGGGGAUCCAUGGCGAGGACAGCAGCCCAGUUUCUGUUCAUGAGGAUCAGCUGGUAAGGAGAUGGGUUCCUCUUUUUAUGAUAUGAGUUGGUAAACCAUGUGUAGUGGUGCUCCUAAUUUGAGGAAAGGUUUCUGAUGUAUUUUGGUUCUGCUACUGCUUUGUUGAUAAUCAGGAGGUUGCGGUGAAUCUGAUAAUCACAGACUACUGCAUGCCUGGCAUGACAGGAUAUGAUCUGCUCAAGAAGAUCAAGGUAACUGGCAUAUUCUCUCUAGUGUUUCUUGGUAUGAUCUGCUGAAGAAGAUAGGACCUAAAAAAAAGAUGUAUGCUUGCUUUGUUCAAGCAGGAAUCAUCGUCUCUAAGAGAUAUCCCUGUGGUGAUCAUGUCGUCCGAGAACAUUCCUUCAAGGAUCAAUAGGUGAGAAUUCUUAUGAAUUAUUUCAGAUUAUCUCCUGAUUUUUGAAGAACAAAUCAAACUCAAAUGUGAAGAUAUACUAAUCAGUGGCUGAGUAGAACUGUAGAAGUAAGUCAAGAAACCAAAAUUGCCGUUUAACAAAAAUAUUAGAAAAUUACUUCAUGAUUAGAGAACUUUUAGAGAGUUAAAGUUCCUUUUCUUCUGUAUGGAGGCAUAGAAAUGAAUAUGUUUAGCACCAAACUGGAUAUGGAAAUCUCUCCGAAUCCUUAGUGAUUUGGCGUCACAUGUGUUGUAUAAUAGAGGAACCGCCCCACACAUGACACAGCUCACACCGUCCUACUAUAAUCUGGACAUAUCUGGUGUAAAAUAACAAAAAAAGAUAGGGAAUGAUACGCAUACUGAUCUUGUAGAUCUUCCAUAUUGCCGCAUCCAUGAAACAGGUUUAUUGAUGCAGACAGCUCACUAGCACCACUCGUCUUUAUCUGGGUUUAUUCUAUUUCUAGUUGCACGAGACACAAGUGGAGGAAAAAUAUAUUCAGAGGGCAUUAAAGUCAAACUCAAGAAAGAAUCGAAAGAUAUGAUAUCCGUAAACAAACGUACAGAUAGAAACAAAAAAAAGUAAAAAAAACUUAUGUGCAUAUUGAUCUAGGUAAAAUCACUGACCCAAUUUUCAUGAUAUUUUGAAUCAGAUGCCUGGAAGAAGGAGCGGAUGAGUUUUUCCUAAAACCAGUGAGGCUAUCAGACAUGAGCAAGCUGAAGCCCCACAUACUGAAAAGCAGAUGCAAGGAGCACUACCAGGAACAGCACCAGCAAAGCGACAGCAACAGCAACGAAUGCAGUAACCCCACAAACGACAGCAGCAGCAGCGAUAACAGCAGCAGCCGCAAGAGAAAGGCAGAAGACAACGAAGUUUUGCCCCAGACAAACAGAUUAAGGCACAGUUAGUUAGCUGCAAACUGAUUAUAGGAAGAAUUAGCCCCCUUUUUUCUCCCUUUAUUCUUUGUUUUACUUAGCUUUUGGCAAGCUAAUUUGUAACACAGAUGUUAGCCCUUGAUUUGCAAAAUAUAAUGGAACCCGUAAACCGGAUACUGAUAAGAUCGAAUCAAGAAAUUUUGCAGCACAUUUCUGGUAUCAGAUGACAGCUGAGAUAGCAGUUUAACAGGCCAGUGGACAGAACGUGUACCAUACUUUCUAAGGAACAUCUGCUGACUCUCGGAUAGUCAGAUAGCUUACAACGAAAUUAGUUUCCUACUUACGAAAAUAGUUUCUUACUGUUUUUAAGCUUAGACUUUAAACGAGUACUCACAUAGGACAAUACAGUAGAGUAAUAACUUAGCUGCAAGACGAUUUUUUACCAAUACCUUACAGCAAACUCAUCCUACACAGGCCUAGAACUAGAAGGGCAAGAUAAUCUGCCGACGAGUUAUUUUUACUAAUUGCUUAGGAGACCAUCCAUCGAAAGGCACCAGGGCCUCAGAAAAUACACCUGUACGUCACAUGGUUCCCGGUAAGCUCACUGUCAUACGUAACUUUGACAACGGUUCCCUUGCCAAGGCCGUGGUAGCGAGCAACAGCAUCAGUUUCCAGCAUGCGGGGCAGCUGAAAUAUACAAGACAGGAACCAAUUUCAGUAAAGAGGCAUGGAUUUACUUUGCAAGAAGUUGAGCUAGCUCUAACAAACGAAACAUCCAAGGAUAAAACCCAAGCUUAUAACAAAUGGAAAUUUGCACUUCAGGCAUGUUAAGAAUCCACUAGCCAAAAGAAAUGAAAUGCAGUAUCCCACGACAAGUCAACAACUAUAGACAUAUUGUUGAACACAAUUUUAAUUUAUGAUUUGCAUACCAUUAUGUAAGGAGCAUACGAAUAAGAAAUUGAGAACCCACACAAAUAGAACCUGAAAUAAAUUUGACAUUGCAACCAAACAUAUUUUCUUCAUAUAUGAUAGCAGCACUCCCACUAUGGAAAUUGGGAGGAUCACCAGUUUCAAUGCCAUCAUGUUACAUUGCAAUACAACAUCAAGAGCACAAUAUAAAUGGUGGAAUAUCAAUAUUUCCAUGUGACCAAGGCACUAAGUACGGUAAAUUCAUAAUUUAUCGACAAUCUCAAUCAUCACAUCCAGAAAGCACACCAAGAGUUUGACUCUCCCUUAUGGCCAUGAUCAUGUUGCAAACAAGAUCAAGUGCUGAAAUUAUGGUGUUGCAUACAGCAAGUAUCAUGAAAAGCAACAGGCUGCAUCGUUGCACUCCACAAGAUGUAACAAAGAAGGCUACAAAACUAACAUAGCACCAUAACUUACAACGCCAGUACAACAAAGCAGUAAGAAAUUAUAAAGUAACUUCAACAAAUUAUAGAGGAACACACCUGUGAAUCCACCACAUUGUACUCCUUCAGGAGCUUGGCUUUCUCCUCUGCAGUCAACACUUCAUGCUUGGGCUUCAAGACAUGCUUAGUGAUGUUCACCAGCAAUUCCGUGAUCUACAUUGGAACAGCACAUUGAUUUGAACGUGAAUAUUGAUCUAAGAUAUCUCUUCAGGAAAAAAUAAUAUUAAUAUAAGAUAAAACAGAAAAAUAUCAACUUUACGUGAUGAGAGUUAUAAUGCUGCGAAUGGACACUUGAUAUCAAGAUCAUAACUUGCAUUAGAACAUAUAGUGAAAUUAAGAUUCCAUAUUGUAGCCAGUACCAUAACUGAUGCAUACAAAGUCAACAGAAGCUACUUGCUAUUAUUUUUAGGUGAUGGGUACUGUAAUUACAAACAAAAAGACUGAGAUAAUCCCUGUUGUUGCUCACUUCCAGAAACUGAACAAAAUGUCAAGAGCAUCCAAUAGAUUAGAUAAAACCUAACCUGGAAUGUGUCAACUUUAAAUGGGAAGAUCUCCUUGAUAGAUUCUCUGGAUUUAGACGUUAUUUUGCUCUGCAAUAUCAGGAUCAAUCUAGACAAGUUCUCUUCUUGGACUCUGCUAUAUAUCUCCCGGAUAACUGCAAUUUUGACAGGUUCAGGUGGACAGAACACAACUUUCACCUGCAUAACACAUGGUUCAGAUCUAUUAUUUACUCAUCUGUAACAAGAACGAUAGAACCACUUUAUGCAUGAAAAGAUAAGAGAUAAAAGCACCCAUACAGUCAUAUGUAUGCAGUCAUUGAACUUCUCUAGAUGAGUAAACAAUAAAUUAAACAGUUUACCAUUCUACUUGCAAGAAGAGGCCAACCCUCAAUCAUAACCACAAGAACAAUAAUAUUCCUAGAUCAUACAGACAAUGACACGUUCACACCUGAAUUGGUGAGAAAGGGUAUGAAAGAAACAAUACCCCUCUUUCUUUCUUUCUAACUAUUCAGUUUUGCAGUGCCUCUUGUCCACAAUGCAUAUCUCAGCACAACUGGAUUCCAGUACAAAUGAGUAAUCGGGGUAGGUUUCCUAAUCAUGAGUAAUAAAGCUUGGCCUGAUGGUCAGGACAAGAAUGCAGUUCAAAUCGCGAGCUAGUAGAACAGGAAUCUAACCCUAAUGGAAGAACAAGAACAUCUGGAAGCCCACCGGCGAUGUCACGGGGGGGGGGGGGGGGGGGGGGGGGGGGGGGGGGGGGGGGGGGGGGGGGGAACCAAAGAAAAAAAAACCCACCUUACUGGACUGGUCGGCGGCGAGGGCGGUGGAGAAGGCGAGGCGUUCGAGCUCGGGCUUUUCGGCCCACCAGGCGCGGAACUCCGGGAGUGUGCGCGCCAGCUCGGCCUCCGGGACGCUGUACCCGCGGUCGCGGAGCAUCUCCAGCGCGGUGCGGCGCGCCAGGAAGAGGCGGUGGCUCUCGACGCUGCCCCCGCGGUCGAUCAUGGACGAGAUGCAGGCGGGUACCUCGGGGACGGCGUCGACGUCGUCGUCGGCCGGGGCGGGGUCGGCGGCGGCGGCGGCCGUGCUCUCCGCGGAGUCCAUUUCUCCUGUUGGGUGGAGUUGGGCCUUUGGGUGGGGGAGUGGCGACUGGGGCGAAGGGGAUAUCUAAGAAAUAUCGCUCCUUCAAAAAUUAUUUUUAAAAUUUAUAUAUAUAUUUUUGCUACCGGAGAGAUGUUUCAGUUACAAAAUCAUCAUUUUAGCCACCGUGACGCGCCACGUCAUGAUCCCACACUGGACUCCUCUUGCGAAAAGAUCCUGGUGCCCCUACCUUAUCCUCUAGUCCUUGCACGGCAAGGAGGAAGAAGAUGACGCCGCCGGGGCAAAGUGUACGGCAGUGGCCGUGAAGGUGUUGGGUCGCAAUGUGGCCGUGGAUGAGGCCCGGUUCGCCCGUGAGGUGGAAAGGAUCAGCGGCGUGAGGCACCCGAACCUAGCGGCGCUCGUGGGAGCGUGCCCAGAGGCACGCGCCGUCGCGUACGAGCUCGUCCCGGGCGGGAGCCUGGAGGACCACCUCAACCUCACUGCUGUCGGCCGCUGCAGCUUGCCUUGGGGCACGCGUUGCGGCAUCGCGUACGGGGCAUGCUCCGCGCUGGCCUUCCUCCACUCCACCUCCUCUGUGCCGCCAUUGGCAGACGUGAGGUCGGCGAGCAUCCUCGUGGUAGGGUCCUCCUCGUGAAAGCUGGCCAGGCUCGGCACGCGCAGGCUUGUCGUUGACCACCCCGGGGGCGCGUCGUCGAGGCUGGCGCUGGUAUACGCGGAACCAAGCUACCUGGUGGCGGGGGAGGUGCAGCAGUAGCAGUGCGAUGCCGACGUGUACUCGCUGGAUGUGGUGCUCCUUCAGCUGGCGCAUGGUUUGGCUGGAGGUGGAAAACGAGGGUGGGUCCCGAUAGGUGAACAUCGUCGUCACCGCGCCGCGCGCACGAGGCCAAGCGCGAGGAGCAGCGUGACGCGGCAGUGCUCAAGGAUAGGGCCAUGGAGCAGGAGAUCCAGAGGAGGGAGGGCGUGGAGGAGCGGCUACGCGUCGCGGAGCGGGCGGUGGAGGAGCAGCGGGAGCGCGCGGCGGAGCCUGCUGGACCUGAAGCUGGGUGGGCCGACGAGCUGGAGGUGGAAGAAGGAUGGCUCCCACCAGUCGUAGAGAUAGGAGGGAGGAAGAGAGCAAACACACAUACUUGGAGGAAGAGAUGCAGGAGCAGGAGGGUCAUUUUACAUGGCGAAUCCAUGCUGGCACAAUGAGGUGGCUCGACACAUCAGCAAAAAUGAUGAUUUUGUAACUGAAACUUCUCUGCGGUGGUAAAAAUGUAGAUAAAAUUCUAAAAAUGAUUUUUGAAGGAGCGUCAUUUCUUACAGUAGCAAAUAAUUAGAUAUCCCGGGGCAAAGGGGAAAGCGAGUAGUGUGCAAAUGAUGAUGUAACACGUUCGCUCUCUUGAAGUUAACACGUCCAAUUUUGGUUUAUGAUCAUGUCAGCAAAAAAAAAAGCCUAAUACUCCCUCCGUUCAAAUUAUAAAUCAUCUUAAUUUUUUUCUAAUUUUAUAAAUAUUAUUAUGCAUCUGAUCAUACUGUGCGUUUGCGUGAUUCCUGCAGCUGAAGUCGUUGGCGACCAUGCAAGUCUUAGUAACUUGGUCACUGGUGAAAGCCUACAUUUCUAGUGAAUCUUGUCACGAGUAACAAAGUGGCAAUUUCUAGCAGCGUGAGUGCGUGACUGCGUUCUGUCAAAAACAAAACUAUAAAGGAAGGAUAAACUUUGUUGGUUCGUUACAUGAAUCGUGAAACACCAAAAUGCCCGUCCAAGAGGGAUAUACCAAAUUGUGGUCACGUAGGUUUGCCCCCACCAUGGAUGGAGAUUUAGCACAACUAAGUUUUUAUAAUUUCUCUCGUCAAACUAUGGUUGUGCUUACUUCAUUUCCUUUUAACCAAUAUUUUUCAUGUGUUCUCAGUCUUGGGCUGAAAUUGUAUAUAGAGGCCGGAUUAAAUGUUUUCGUUAAAACAGAAAAAAAAACAAACAGAAUGGCACAGUAGACUGAGUGGCCUGACAAGCCCAGGUGCUUUGCCCGCAAAAAAAGCCCAGCAGAAUGCCCAGCAGACCUGCAUGCAGUUUAGAACAUGAGACAGUCUUGUUGCUUGGAUGCGAGAAGAUUCCUGUUGAUCAAGCUUUCACGGCUCGUCGCUUCUGUUGAAUUUGAGGGGGAGCUGAAAGUUUCUGUGGCAACUAAUGAUGUUUGGCAAUCUGCAUCAUAUGGCGGUUAACAAUCCUGUCCUGUGUGCACGCCAUCCGUAGCCAAAUGAGACACUUCAAAGUUCAAACGAUGGGGAAGUGUUCUGGCCAAAUUUGGGGUGAGAAUAACUAUAGCAAGAUUUAGAACAGGAUUUACUUCCAGUGUUAACUGCAGCACAGUUGCAAAAUUAGGGUUGAAAAAAAAUGUGCUGUAAAGUUUUAGCUUGUUCCUGCUACUGAUGAAUCAUCAAUAUAAUUUUUUUGACGGUAUGAAUCAUCAAUAUUUGUUCUCUCUCACUUUAUUUCGACUGCCAAAUCCCUAAUCAAAUUUGAUUUGACAGAUCAAAGCAUCAUGAUAGCAAUAGAGUUACAAACUGUGAAGGAGAAGGACCUGCUGCAACAACCGUAUCGCUUUAGAGCCUAACAACGGGAUGGAGCACUAAAACUCCAAAAACCCAACAGCUCAGGCAUGGUAGUUUUGCUCUUUUUGCUCUUCAUCAAGGGCCACCAACAGAACGGCAAGUUAUGUGUCUUCGCGCUUCAGCAUAUUUUACUUAACAGGCUCCAGCACUGGGAACAGCUUCUCCAACUUUGCAUUUGAUAGAACCUUGUUGGGGUCCAGCUCCAUGCGUGCCUUGUUAUAUGCAUCGACAGGGAAACGCUUCCUCAGCCUGGCCUGGAGCUCAGCUAGUUCGUCUCUGUCCUUCGGAACCUAGACAGAAAUGGUGACAGAAUAAUCACCAGGCAUGAAAUUGUUGCAAAUAAAUAGCUCAGCAAGGUAAGGGUGCAAUGCAAGUGAUGGGGUCAUUCUCUUGAAAUUAACCAGCCCGAUGUUAUUUUCAAUCAUACGUUCAAACAAAGUCUGCUAAAGAACUGGAAUAAUGUCUGCUGUCUGCAUAGAUCUUAAAACCAGCAGUAGAAGUUGGUACCUCAAUUUUUGCCCAGUGUUCAUAUGCAGAAUAAUCAUCCCAGAGAGUUUGCGCCAGGUUCCUGUAAUUGAAGAACUCCUCCGUAAUUUCCUUCCUUUGGCGAGCAUCUGAUGUUGGCAAGUACAUUAUAAUACCGACCUGCAUAGAUCCCAGUAAGUUGGUCACUGAAGUUUAUACAUUGGUGCAAAAGAGAACCAGGUUUUACAGGCUGCGCAUGGCUAAUGAUUUAUUAGAGAUGCAGGAGUUGCAGAACUUUCCAAAGCAGUUCAGAGUUGUAACGUGCAUCUGUUUCAGUAUGUACGUGAUUGUCUCAGAAACAUGGGAAAGAUAACAAUCACAAUGGAACAAUUUGGUAAUAUCAUCUACACUGAAGAAAGGAUUUUCCCAUAUAUUUGUCAAUGUAGGAAGAAGAGAGCAAGUUCUACUGCUAUAUUUUGCAGAAAUGAUCAGAAGAGAGCACAACUGAAUUGUAAAAUAUUUUUCAAACCAAGUAUUCAGCACCGAAAUCAAUGGUAAACAAAUUAGUAUGAUAUGCAAAAGAUCUUUUAGGUAGGUAAGCAACACAUAUUAGACAUGCAAAAGUUUAAAAAAAUCUAUGGAACAAGAACAAAUUAAGUACCCAUGAAAACACAUCUUCUUCAGAGCUUGAUGCGGGGCUCAUUGGACUCUUGCUGCGGGCAGUCCAACGCUGCUCAAUUGGUGCAGGUGCGGGUAUAUCUUCCUUUUCAAUCAACUGCAGCAACUUCUCUAUAUAAUCCAGAUCCUUUGUACUUGGCUUUGCUAGGGUUCCUGUGGGGAAGCAGUUUUCAGAAACCCACUGCUGCCCACCACAAUCAAAGCCCAGUAUUUCAUCGCUCCAGCCCAUGCGAUACCCUUCAGACUUUUUCCAAUACUCAGCUUCUGCUUUAUUGACUUUCACCACAUGAUCUUUAUCCAGUGGAUCAAGGGCAAGCAGCUUAUCUCUCAGUUCAGUAAAUGAAAGCGUAUCUACUUCCGGGUCAUUACUUUCUGUUUCAGUUCUGAAAAGCAUCUAUAAGGUGGAGCAAGAAAAAAAACAAAUACUAUUGCUGAAUACAGCUAAAUUCCACUGAAAACUACAUAAUUUAAAAGUUACAUCAUUUGAGUAGAUCAAAUGACUCCAACAUCAUUUGUGUAUGCCAGUUGACUGCAUAAAACAAUAAUUUGAUUUUCCAUGCAUAUGGCUUUAAAAGUAAAGGAACUGAAUGCGGUUCUAUAUUUGUAUAUUAAUUAAGUAAAUAGCAGCCAGAAAGCACCACCUUACACUUCUUGCAUCACCAUUUUUUUUAGUGAAGGCAAGGGAAACAUCCCUUACUAAUUUCAAUUAUAGAAACACAUAGAACAUCCAUCGAGUCUUACAUAGAAAUGAAAUAUUCAUCUGAGAGUAAUAAGCAAAAGCAAACUCCUAAGAGAAAAACAAAACUAGCAGGUGCACCCACAAACUGCCAUCUUUUCAACUGAUAAUGCCUAAGUGCUACUGCACCUGUAUCAUUCAUGUGGAAAAUACAGUUCAUCCAACUGGAAUCACCUCUUAUUUCUGCAUGAUGUUCAAUAAAGCGAAGAAAACCUAAGGAAGAACUGGACAGACUCACACUGAAAUUGUGUAGGACAAACUAGAAUCUAAAUUGACACAACAGUUUCAAGAGUACAAUUAUAAUUAUUAAUGUCAAUUCAAUUUCUAAGCAAGAGAAUAUUUAUCUGGUUCUUUGGUAAGAGAAUAGCAAGUAAAGAUGCAUUUGCAUAUAGAACAACAUGGUAGCCUAAAAAUUUGGGUUAUCAAACCACAACAAGUGUGCGUACCUAUAUUUUUUCAGUGACUCCCGAUAGAGGUUACGAACAUGCUGUAAAGCUUCAUCCUUUCCAUAUUUUGAGGUCAACUUUGGGGUUUUCCACUUUGAGGGAGGAUUACAUCGGACAACAACAACUGUGUCAGUAUAUGGAAUCCACAAGUACUUAAUAUGUUUGUUCUCAGAGAGCCACUUCCUGCAAAAGGCAAGAAAGGAAGAAAUCUGAGGAUUUUACAACUGCACAGGCAAACCAAUUGAAUAGUUACAUAAAGCUUGACAUAACGAAACAUUACUUGUGGUUUUUCUUGACUUCAUCUGCAUUGGAAACAAAUGUAUGUUCCACAAGCUGGUGCCUUUCUACACAUUGAAGAGUAACUUCUGCGACAACACCUAGGCCACCAAGUCCACAGCGAGCAAGAUAAAAUAACUCAGGAUCCUUCUCCCUCGAUAACUCUAUGGUGCCUUUGGCAGGGGUAACCAGUUUCAUGCUAAUGACUUGCUCGUCAACAGGAGGCAAUCUGGCACCAGUGCCAUGGGCACCAACCUGCGUCCAAUCAUGAAAAAAACCAUAUAUUAAUUAGGCCUGAACUCAGUAAGUUACAAUUAUACAAUUUCAAAGGAAUACUAGGACCGACUACAACAGGAGCUCUCAGGCAUUAGGAUGGUUUCUUGCAACAGACCUGAAUGAAGCCUCCGACCUGCUGCUCCCUAAUGGACGCGAAAUUCUGCAGCGUGAGUCCAUGUUCCCGGAGCGCGUCAACUAGCUCUGCAACACGAAUCCCCGCCUGCACCGUGACGGUCUUCUUCUUCACGUCGACGUCGAGCACCUUGUCCAUGAGCGCGAGACUGACCAUUCCGGCGCGGGAGAGACCGAUCCCAUUGGGGGACAGCCCGGAGCCAAGCGGCCUGAGCUUGCGGCGCUCCUUGUGGGCGGUGGCGAGCGCGUCCUCGAGGGCCGGGAGGGAGUCCGGCUGGAGGAGGACGCGGGCGUGGACCUCGUGGGUGGCGCUCCAGUUGGAGACGGCGUGGAGGUCCUCGGGGAGCGGCGCGUACUUGAAAGGGACGGCCUUCUUGUGGAGCGCGUCGGCGGGUAAGGGGAAGGAGUAGUAGGUGGCGGCGCCGCAGCCGAGGAGGAGAAGCGCGUAGCCGGCGUACUUGCGGAGGUCGGCGUCGGAGGAGACGGGGGAGGGGGCGGAGGAAAGGGCGCAGAGGAAAGGGAGGUGGUGGUGGUGGUGGUGGUGGUGGGAGGAGGGGCUACUGCCGCGGCGGAGGAGGAGGCGGGAGAGGAGGAGGUGCCGCAUCGUCCUCGUCCUGUUGGACGGCGUGGUGCGGCGAGGGGAGCGCGUGGAGUGAGUGGUGGCGUUGGGGGGAACGGGCGGCGCCGGCAGUGGCCACCGCACCAGAUCGCGAUGGGUUUUACAUCUUGAAUGAGAUUUAUCAGGGCAUGUACAACCCUCAGUGAGGUGUUCGUCUCUGUACAGACAGGUAUAAAGAUAGGUCAUACAACCCACAGACAGGGAUCUGUCUCUAAACUAUUUAAUGCUUUGCAUGUAGUUAGGAUCAACUAUAUAUAAAUUUUUGUAUACCAUCAUGUGUCUAUUUUAUAGAAAAUGUAUCAUGGAUAAAUAAGAGCAACAUGAUUACAAUAUUUUAAAAACCAUCAAUAUAAUAAUUAUAUUUCAUAUAGAUGCAACGUCUUUUAUCUAAUUUCUUUUGUUUCCAUAGCGUUGCCAUAUGUGCUCGAUUAGAUCCUUCUUGAGUUUCCUAUGUGUUGGCCGGGCUUUAAUAGUAGAAUUUCUACGAAGUACCUCUGCAAAGGUAUGAUUAGGGUUGUCGCUUGUACGCACUUCAGGUGGGAGCACUAUCGUUGCACUUGGAUUCUCAUUCAAAUCCAAGACUUCUCUAAUUGAAUCCUUCUCAUCUUCCACUAUCAUAUUGUGAAGGAUAACACAAGCUUGCAUUAUGUUAAUAACGUGCCCCUGCUUCCAUAACCUUGCUGGUCGACGAACAAUAUCAAAGCGUGAUUGCAGCACACCAAAUGCGCACUCGACAUCUUUCCUCGCCCCUUCUUGCAUCAGUGCAAAUAAUUUGUCUUCCGCCGAUUGAGGGGCUGCCACUGUCUUCACAAAUACUGCCCAUUCUGGAUAUAUUUUAUCGGCAAGAUAAUAACCCAUGUCAUAUUGUGUUCCAUUUACAUUAUAGUGUACCGCAGGAGUUUCCCCUUUUAUUGAUUGAAUGAACAGUGGUGACUUGUUUAGAACGUUUAUGUCGUUCUGAGACCCGGCGGUACCAAAGAAAGCAUGCCAUAUACGAAGAUCCCGAGUUGCCACCGCUUCGAGGAUCAUAGUAGGAACGCCUUUAUCACCACGUGUGAACAUGCCUGCCCAACCUUUCGGACAAUUCUUCCAUGCCCAAUGCAUACAAUCGAUGCUUCCCAACAUUCCUGGAAAACCACGAGCCUCAUUUUCUCGCAAUAUUUUUUCCAGUUCAUCGCUUCUUGGAGGGCGUAGAUAUUCUUCACCGAAUUUUUCAAUCACCUCUUCAGCAAAUUUUUCCAAAAUCUCCAAACAAGUGCUUGCAGCUAUCUUUAACACCUCAUCAAGUUGAUCAGCCAAGGUUCCAUAAGCUAGCAUCCUGAUAGCUGUGUUACACUUUUGAAGCGGUGAAAGUCCAUUCCUACCAGUAGCAUCGGGUCUUUGGGUGAAAUAAGGAGACCAAUCAUUGAGUGCAUGCACGAUACGUAAGAAUAGCGGCUUAUUCAUCCUAAAUCUCCUACGGAACAUCUCAUCGGUGUAGAUAGGAUUUGCAGAAAAGUAAUUAGCGACAAGAUCAUCAUGAGCUGCUUCUCGAUUCCUUGGUAUGUACCUGCGCGGUCCAGUUUGUUGGCGAUGGCGAGAUACUGUUGAUGCUUCUCCAUCGAUAUAGGCCUUCAAUUCCUCUUGUAUCAUAUCUUCUAAGAUUUCAUCCUCUGCUAGCAUAUCUUCUACGGUGAACACCUCUGCAGGAUCAAAUUCCUCGGCAUCUUGCACCUCAUCUUGCUCCAUAGGAACUAACUAGAGUGGAAAAUGUACUGCUCUGCGGUGAACAAGAGUGGAAAAUGUACUGCUAUGUGGUGAACAUCUUGCUCCAAUUUAUAGUGACAUGUUUUGCGGUGAAAAUGUACUGCUCUGCUCACAUUCCUGACAGCAUUCACAUUCCUGAUAGCAUUCACAUUAAAAUAACACUCGCAAUGACAUGUUCACACUCACAGUGACAUCCACAGAUUAGCACUACGCAUUCAGAUGACAUUUAGAUGACAUUCACACUCACAAGAGCACUACGCAUUCAGAUAGACAUUCACAUUCACAUUUCAGUAAACGUGACAGUAUAUGGGAAGUUUAGAGAGACACCACAUUCACAUUCAAAUUACAGUAUAUGGGAAGUUUAGAAAGACACCACAUUCACAUCGAAAUGGCAUGUUCACUAGUAGGUGGUCAAACUCUUCCCAGAUUCUGCAUCCCUUCUGUUCUAGCAUAGGCACUCAGAUUCCUGCAGUACCUUGUCACAGUGCCAAUGGAAAUAAGAUCAGAAUGCUUGUCACACAGUAAGUAGCUCAUGAAAUAAAUUAACACAGUGCCAUGAAAAUAAAUAAGCUCAGAUAGCACUUGUCAACAUACAAAAUUAACACAGGUUCUGCUUCCAACACUCAUAUAACACUCAGAUUCAAUGACAUGUUCAGAUAAAAGAUAGCGAUGACAUGUUCAGAUAAAAGAUAGCAAUGACAUGUUGCUCAAGUUACCUGUUCAGUCACUUUCAGGAAAAAGGGCCUUCCUAAGACACUUCAUGGCAGCAACUCACUCCGCCUUUUUCACAUCAGACAUUGAACUUGUAUCUUGUAAUAUGAGGUUGUUAUAAGCCUCCAUCAUCUUUGAUUCUUUCUCAAGCUUCUUUCCCUCUUUGGUCUCUUGUGUAGUAAGGUGAACAAGUUUUGUGGUCUCAAGCUUCUCAAAUGAUAGCUUCUGCUGCAGUUCCAAUAUCUUCAUACGGUUUGCAUUUGUUUCCUCCUGGAUUUUGCUUAAUCUACCUAAUUUAUCUAGAUCAAUGGUAGAUUCCUUUGAGUUACCAUCAUCUUCGCUGCUGGAGCCUUUUGACUUGCCUUUUGCCGCUAGAGCUGCCUUUUUAGCUGCCUUUUGACCCAUUGGUCGAUUUGGCAUCUCUUCCAAACUUUCAUCAUUUUCCUGAUCCCUUUCUUCUUUAAGGUGAAAUGAUUUCCUUUUACGUGCAUUCCUCAGCUCUUCAUUGUAUGUUUUCCACUUUGACACUUCUCGACAAAUUUUCCAAACCUCAAUCCCAACAAAGGGUCCUAGUUUUGCAUCUUUGUUGUCCUCCACAUAGAACUUGUGGGCUGCAUCAAUCCACAUUUGAUCGGAAUAUCCACUUGUAAACACUCUGCGAGCCUUUACAUAAGCACAUUCAAAGAUGUCCGUCCACCUAUUAAUCUUGUGCCAUCUAUCCUUGCAUUGCUUCAGAUUUCUCUUUCGAAGUGGUGGGGUAGUCUUGUUGUAGGAUUCAACAACCUCAUCCCAAUACUGGUUACCACCCUUAUCGGCUCCACAGGUAGAGUCUGCUGAAUGUUCUAUCCAAGCGCUCAUCAAUCUAAGAUCCUCUUCCUCUGUCCAUAGGAUCCUCUUCUCAGUCCUAACAUUGUCAUUAUCAAGUAAUAUUUCUACUUCAGGCUGUGAACUUGCAUCAUUGUUGGUAAACAGAAGUCUAUUCAAAGGGCUGUUGUGAAUAGGUGCACCAACCAAAUGAAAGUUGUGUGGCUGAUUUCCGAAGUAGCUCAUGAAACCACCAGAUGGACGUGGAUCUUUAUCCCUGCAGGAAACAAACAAUAACCACUAUGUUUUAGUUCAAACAAUAACAUAGUUCAAUGGAGGAAUACAUUAGUACUUCAAUUGAUAGACAUGGUCACAAAUACGCAAUUGAUAAUCAAUUAAACGGAACUGAUUUGAAAACAUCUCCUGUUACUUCUGAUGCUCAUCAUUAGUAAACUAGCUAGAUAAUUCAGAUAGAAGGGGUCAAUGCUGCAGGUCUCAGAGUUCUCCCAUUGCCAACAUAAAUAAUUUAGGCAUAUGAUGAAUGAACAGAGAUGAACUAAAAUGGAUUGUGCAGCAGUAACUAAACAAAGGCACUCCAUUCUUAUGGUAGGAUUACUAGUUCACAACAUAUCAUUCAUACUACAUGGCAGAGACAUUUGAUCAGGCAGACCAUUUCAGGUAAUCACCAGUUAACAUUAAAUGGCAGACAUCUGAUCAUACUGUAUUGCACCUGUUGAUUUGGCAGGGAUUGUUGACUCUGCAACUUCAAUUGCAUAUAUUUUCUAUGAUCGUCUUCUUUCCUUCUUAAAUGGCUAUUAAGUUUACCUUUUUUUAUCUGUAUAAAUACAGUUGCUACCUUGCAUUAGGCAAUCUUGAAGAUGCCUCAAGGAACUACAUGUCCUGUUUGAACAGUAACACUUUGAGUUCUGACCCCAAAAUGUUUACUGAAGCUUCUAAUGGUUUGGAAAAAGUCAAGGUAUCUUCUGUCUUGUCCUUUUUGUUUAUAGCAGACACAUCUAAUAUUCACUAUUUUUAUUUUUUACAUUUCAUCUCUUUUUUGUUGUUAAAUUUGAAUUGAUUUUCUCUAUGUUCUAGAAUCCAUAAAUCAUAGUACGUGGUAAGUAUGCAAUGCAAUUGUUUUUAGUUAGAAAGACUUAUUAGUUGUUUAUUUAGUUCCCAAAAUUAUUCAGUACUUUUGAAAUAGUAAUGCUUCACAGAACUACAUAUGUGCUUCCCCCCAUUGCAAAUAUAACUCCAUAUGACUCCACUAUGGCAUCCACGUAAGCUCCAAUAUGACAUAUGGACUAGUAAGCUCCAAGGUCUGAAUACUAUAGUCCAUAAAAGUGACAGGCCAUUUUACAGAGAAUAUGUUUGUUACUGAAACUUGCAUGUCCAGCAUCACUCAACGCAUUCACAUUGAUGGUAAAUAUCUGCUUAUGUAAACAAGAAAAUUACUCAUGCAUUAUAGAACAGCUGGACUCCAGCAAAAGUUGCUCCAGCUCUGAAGUUUAUCUUGUUAAAAAAAGACUGAAGCAAAGAUAGUGAUACAAAGCAGUGUCUAGGGUCUGGUAAUAGAAACAUAUAAACUCACACAUGCAGUGAGGUUACUGGAACAAACAAGUGAAACAGAACAGAAACAUUCAACUAAAACUACCAGCUUUACACUCCCUGGCAAAGCCUCCAGAGACAACCUCUUCUGAGAUCAACACAACAAACAAAGCUUGGCAGCACCAUCAUGAUUACAGCAAUCGAGGACCACCACACAUAUUGCCCUCGAUUCCUCGAAUCAAUCACUGUGCAUUCUCUUCUCAAACUUGAAGUUUCUAACAGCACUAGUUACAUUCAGCUAGCGACAGACGGCUCUUCUAGGAACUACAAUAGGCUGAUCAAUUGGAGCACUACCACCAGGAAAACAAAUUUGCUGUCAGCUCCUGUUUUCACUAUAUUUUUCUUCAUUCAACUCUAGAGGUUUGACCAUAAAUCUAGCAGGGCCACUACUCCUCAGCCAUCAUAUUAGUUAGAUUAACAAAGUCAUAUAGCAGCUGAUGAAUCAAAAGAUAAAGUAGUGCUGGUACAAUUGAAAACAAUGUGCCCCUAACAGUCCAAUAAGAGGUGACAGUUGACUUGCAAGUAAAGUUCCUUUUCGUCGAUUCCAAUUGACCUGACAAAGCACGAACAGGCUUCUAGCUAGAGAACUACAGUUACCUAACUAACCUAAAUUCCCUGAAACUGAUCUUGAAUUAUGGUCAACUUUGCAACACUUCGGAUACACUAUUUCAAUUGUUGUUGCACUAAUUUAGCAAAUAAAAAUUAAAUGACUAAUCAAACAGUAAGUUGCAGUGACAAUCCAAAAAUGAACACAAGUACUGACAUCACUCCAUUUCAACAACAGAAAACAACUAAACCAUAGGCGACUCUGUUACACAUGUUGCUAGCAUAAAUCAUACCAAACUUGUAGUCACAGAUCUGAGUUUUGAGUGAUUACCAUGUUCCAGGAGAAGAGGGAUCGUUGCUGGCCGUAUCAAACCAAGCUUGAGACGGUGAGUGAGGGAACGGAAAUCCAUCUAUGCUGGGGAAGCCACCAACGCUGGAUCCAUCAAUGGAGGAUGGCGCUGUCGCCGUGCCCUUGUCGACACCACCGGUGGUUGGGCGGGUGCCUGCUGCCGCCGAGCUGCCGCCACGACCUAGAGAGAGAGCUGUCGGCGCCGAGAAGCCACCGCGAUCAAGGGUACGGGCUGGGGCUGCUGCCGCCGCAUCCAACACUGACGGUGUGGCCCCCUUCUUCUUCCUAGCUGCGACUGCCAUGGAGUUCGGAGGUGGAGAUGGAGGCAGAUUGGGGGAGCUGGGAGAUAUGACGGGGAAGAUGGAUUGGGCGCGAAAACUCCCGCGCGCGCCCAAAUCUCCUGCCACUGCGCGCCUCCCGCGCGGGAUCCGAGCGCGCCGUCGACUCUCGAGGACGAGGCCGUACAACGGAGCCGCCGCCGUCGGUUCCACCUCGGAGCACGGGAGAUGCCCGUCGCCUCGCGAGGCGACGGGGCGCGCGUCGCUUGGCUCGACGGGGGGGCUUCGUGAAAAAUGACCACGCGAAGAGACGAGAAAAAGACGCCGCUGUACGUGCCCUUAGUUGCGGUAGGUGGGCUUAGGUCCAGUCCAUUUGGUUAAAACUAGGCUAUCUUUUCGGAAAAAAAAUUAGACAAACUAGUUCUAUUUCAGCCCAAGAGAAUGAGAGAGAUGGCAUGCGCGUUGAUUGGACUUCGGCGAUGCUUGUACAUCCAAGAUGCACAUAGCCUACUGUAACUUUCAUUAUAAAGCCUUUCACCAUAUGAUAAGAAGAAAUAGGAAGUAAGCCUUUACACCGUAUUUCAAUUCUAGAAAAUUUAUUGUAUAUUUCAAUUCAUGUGUUUAAUUUAAUGUAUGGUUUCAUGUGUAUAUUUUACAAGUUUCUUUUAUUUCAUGAUUGUUCUAUUCAUAUUUAUACAUUAAUUGUACUACUUGGUACAUUUUUUAAUCUAAUGUAUCUAUGAUUACAUGUGUGUAUAGCUAAUAUCAUUAUUAGUUGAGAUGGGAGACGAAAAGGAUGCAAGUUAUAUAAUGGGGCAGAUUAUUACUGGCGGUAGUGGCUCAAACGUUCCAACAACAUACACCGAGAUGAGGGUAGCUAGGCGGACAUGUCCCUCAACAUGUUCAGUGAUGGCAAUGAUGAGCCCGAACACAACGUUGAUGACAAUACGGAACAAGACCUUGCCGUGAUGGAAGGUUUUGACGAGAUAUAUAUCAUUUUCAUUCUUUUACCCCAUCUAUAAUUUCAUAUUCAUAAUUACUAUGUACUAAUUAAUGAAUCUUGAACUUUUAGCCCUCUGAAUCGAUGAACCGAAAGAACCCACGAGGUCGUACAAAGAUAAUGAAAGGAAGACUUCACAUCACUGAAGUGAUAAAAGAGGGCCAGCCAAUUGCUCCCGAAAAAGUCGCUAGAAAGUUAAAUGUAGGGCUAUUGUAAGGGACAACGUGCCCAUCAGCAUUCAAGAAUGGAAGGGUAAAAAAGAUAAUCUAUAUGUGCUCCCGCAGACAUAGAAAGAUAUGAUUGUGGGUAGAUGUUAAGAAACACUUCACACUUCAUGAUGGCGUCGAUGAAAAAGUUGUGAAAGACUGGAUGCUGAAGAAUAUGGCAACCCUAUUCCAAACCUUUAAGAAGAAUCUGGAUGCCAACUUUAUCAGGAAGGGCCGAACUCCAGAUUUUAGUGACGAGUCAAAGUUAAGGGAUCACUGGAACUCAUUUCUAGAAUUCAAGAUGAGUAAAGGUAGUACAAACAAGAUUUGUGUCAACUCAACCAAUGUCCAGAAGAAGGAAUACCAUCAUCGCCUAGGGCGAGGUGGUUACAUGAGUGCAAUUCCCAAAUGAAGAAAAAUGGAACAAGAUCUAUUCGAUCGAGGUAUCAUACCAGCGACUAUUGACUGGCCUGAUCGAUCGAAGAAUUGGUAUUACGCUCACGGAGGCAACCUUAGCCAUAAGGAUGGGACACUUAUUUUCAACGAAACAAUACGUCAGAAGGCCCUCAGGCUUAUCAAAAGCAUUGGAGAUGCUAAAGCGGGAAAGUUGAAGGUUGAUAGAGAAAACGAUAAGCUGACUUUGGCGCUCGGGAAUCCCGAACACCCAGGACGUUGCUGAGGCUUUGGGGUCGUUCCGUGAAAGUUUGCUUUCCGUAGGGACAUUGACACGUACAGAAGCUGGAAGAGAAGAAAGGAGGCGCAAGAGGAGAGCUAGCGGCGCAUGUUAGAAGUCAAAGUGCAUGCACAAGAAGUAAGAAUGUAGGAAGAAAUUAAUCGGCGAGUGGCCCUGGCAGUUACUGAGAUGGCCCAAUCUGGAGCACUGCCGGAUCCCAACGUCAUCAUUAGCCUUUCUCAACGUCGAAGCAGCUGUGCUUUCACAGGGGUCCCCGAUGAGAACAUGCCAAGAUUUACCCGUGGUUGUGCAGGACAACCGACGGUACCCUGUGGAUGACAUUACUCAGCACACCUCAUGUGAGCUGUACAGACCAUUUGGCAACCUCACUAUUAAGGUAUACAUAUCUAUAAUUUAUACAAUUAUCUCGAUUGAUCCACGCCUUGGGAGUUUAAUAAUUUAUUUCUCCUAUAUGUACAGGUGACGUACGGAAGUGCUUUACCAAUCCUGCCAGGACAGACAAGCCAUGGCAUGAAGAUUCCACUUAGCUACUCCAGCGUUGGCCUAGAGCAGAUUUGUGAUAGUCAGUAUGAAGGCCUAGAACUCGACCUCCUGGGAGGUGACGAGGAAAGGACACUAGGAGAUGCACUUCACGGUAUCAUUCUAUGGCGCAAACGGUGCAUCAUCAUCAUCCCCGGCAAGGCAUCAUUGCUUCUCAUAGAUCCCUCGCAGAGAACAUCUCCUCAUAACUCAAAACUGUCAUCUCCAGCACAUCCACCUCCAGGACCGUCGUCACCACCGAGAUCGUCGCAUCCUGCUCAAUCACCAUCUCUAGCACCAUCGAAUCCUAGUGGUGCGAGCGACGACGACCAAAACACCCCUCCUCGAUCAUCGUCUGCAUCGCCGGGACUAAACUUUGGGGCGAGCAAGGAACUUGCAGCACCUCUCAAGAAGUCACGACCACCGCCUUCCAAGUCAAGGCAGCCAAAGGCGAAAGAACCUAUUAAGAAAACGUAGAAGUCUAAACCCAUUACAAUUUCUAAAACUGACUACUUCAUGGUUCAUGAACCCUCAGCUUCACAAGUUGGGAGAAAACAGGUUGUUGUGCUGAUAAAUUGUGCUCUUGUUCUGUCACCUUAUUUCGGCUAUGGCAAAUUCUGGUUGGUUAGGUUGCAGGAACUUUCUAUCUUGAACUUCUUUAGACCUCCCCCUCUCUUUUUAUCACCUCCUUUUCUGUUAUCAUGUAAGACUGCUAUUUCCACGCAUAAUGGAAAUGGAAGAGGCCAUAUUAAAAGAAAAAAAUUGCUACAUAAGCUGCCAAGAAACUAUACGGUUUAUCAUGAUUUGCUGGAAAUUGCAAAUCGUCAAGCUGAAAAUAUGGUUCCAAGGUUCUCUUUUGCAAGAGAAAGACCUAAGUGGAUGUCCUUUGUAUAAUCCCAUUUCUUGUUCUUUCUUAGUAGGUCUUUUCUUCUGGUACCGUGUAACCGAGACAGGGCUUAAUUUUAUUUGACUGGCUAGUAUAUUGGUGAGUUCGAACUAGAAAUCCAAUCAGAGCAGCAGAAAAUUUGGAUGAGCUAGCAAGGCAUUUAUGGCUCAGGCAAAUGGACUGGCACAGUUUCUUCACAAAAAAAAAAUGGACAUGCACAAUACCUUAAAGAAAGAGGACAGGUAGAAACAGCACAGUACUUGACUACUUCUAUAAGAAGAAGAGGACCUCCGGCGUGCCUCGCCGUCGCCGUCGCGAAGCGUGCAGGUGUACAGGGAGGGUGGCGGCCGGUGCCGGCGGCGGCCGGCACGAAGAAGAGGACCUCCGGCCGGCGCGCGGCGGCUGAUCUCCGACGUGAGGGCCGCGUUCCACGCGCGGCAGACGGCUCGGCAGCGGCGGGCGGUAACCGUGUGAGGAUUUCGUCGACAAGCACCUCGUCGUGCUGCCGCGGCUGGUGGCCCAACAUCGAUCCUCGACUUUGCCGGGGAUUGGAUUUUUCGUGAUGUGCAACGCCCAAGUAAGUAUCUGGAUCCAAGUUCGUUAUGUUAUGAACUCUGUGAACUCGUCGAGUUGGAGUCGGAGCCGGAACAAAAGCGAUUCGGACUCGGCUUCCUCCUGCCCUCCCGCCCGCCUCGAGCUCGAGCAAAACGAUCCUGGCUCUGCCCGUGCCAACUGCCGAGGGCAUGCUCAUUUUCUUGGUUUAUGGUCACUAUGGCCGGCCGUAACGUAAUCCUCAUCCCUCAAGACAUUCCUCAAGUCGGUAUAGCAGAGUUCACUGGUCUUCUUGCAGACGCAGACACGCUACAAUGUAUUGCAAGUUUAUUUUAUGAAAGUAGCUGAUAUGUCGGACCCACAUGUCAGCGACUUUCAAACACAUCUAGGGUACUAGCUACAGAGGAUAUUUGUUGUGCUCUUGCCUCUUGCACUGCUUGUCCCCACAGUAGACUUGUUUUGUUGCAUGGAUAUGCUGGGAGUUGCAACAGAGUGAGUAUGUCUACCCAUAUGCUGGCACUGGUUGUCGGAAUUUUUUCUUCUGCUUAAAUUGUUGCCUAUCUGUCGUGAAAUCACUGAAAAGAUUCGUGGUUUGGAGCAUCAAUUGUGUUCUGGGUUUGGUUCUCCUGAACACAAUAUUUCUGAACUCUUGAAAUACAUCAAGUUACAUCUCAGAAUCAUAUUCCACUGAAUUAACUGAUAGCAAUAUGGAAAAAAUUCAACAUAUCAUCUUUGUAUUGGACAGAUAAAUAAUAAAGCAUUGCAUAAGAAACUAUGACAAAUUAAGCACAUAUUAACUCUUUGGAACAAAAUAUCAUUAGAUAACGGUGAAGGAAUGGUCACUUGAAUAAUAAGAUCUUAUAUACAUCCUUUCAUGACGUGAUUAAAGUUAUCCUACCUCUAAUUGCACAACGAAAUGUUUGAAAAUGUACAAAAUGCUAACUCUACGCUAUUGAAGGGUUUAUCUACAACAAAAUGUCAAUGAUGUCACCUACAAAAAAAUUUACUACAGUGUGGGAAAAGAACAUCCACCAAAGAAUUGUUAAUCUCUCUUUAGUUAAAUGUGUCCCUCUUUUGUCAAUUGACUAGUCAUUGUACAUCAUCUGCGAAAGCCUUAAAAAUGAAAUCCCUGAACCGCUUGCAGUAUUGCUUCGGGUCAACGGCCGAUAUUGAGUUGGGAUCAUACUGCAUGGAUUUGUAAGCAUGCUCGAGCUUCUUGCUAAUAUCAUAGUCUUGUAGGAUGUCAAUGAUUCCAAAGAACAAAAUGACAUCCUGGAAUUCGCCUGUGGGCUCACCAAUGAGCGGAAAUUCACUAUCGGGAUUCUUCGCUACGUUCUCCACCCUUGAGGGCAUGCAAAUUCCUAGUUUUAAUGACGUUUUCCUGAAAAAAUCCACAAGUACUGUGUUAGUCCUCACUCCUCAGAGGUCAAUGUCAGGGUGAAUGUGAUACUUAGCCGUUGUAUGGUGUAAGCAAGGUACAUAUGCUGAACCACAGACAAGCUGCUGCAGCUGGUGAAAAUUAAAGGCUUUUCCGGUUAGAUUUUAAAAGCACUGGUGGUGUGAUAUAUUAGCUAGCUACUCCUUAUCUCUUCACAAUAAACAAUAUAUUGUGUAUGUUCACGUGAAAAAACAAUCUCAUCGUAUUUUUUUUGUUUAGGUUUAAAUCAUGUCUAAUUAUAUUUCAGUGAUACCAGCCCAAUCCAACCAUUCCUUGGGAUGAUAUUAAACUAGGGAUUAAAAUAUGUUCAGUAGUAAAUUGUGAUUGAUGAAAUGUAUUUUUAAGAUACCUAUUCUCCUCAGAAUCUUCAGUGGUAGUAUGAGAUGUUCCAUUUUCAGUAUUGCUGCUGUCUGUAAUCAUCAAAGAGAUUUUUCAGUCUCCAAACUUUAAAUAUAUCUACAAACAUUUUUGCAACUGCAAGUACGUGAAAGCAUGCAUGUGCUUAUCUUUGCAUCUGUCCUUGAAGUGAAUACCAACCAAAAGACUAUAAUCCAUGAUCCUUUCCUGCUCCAUCAGUUCACAAUCUUUGUCGACUUGUCUGAAAAGAGAUUCAAAUCAUUGGGGCAAGGAAUGCUUGGUGCUUAUGCUAGUGACUAUGUUUGCCAAAAGAAAAAAAAUAUCAUUGGGUCUUUUUUAAUUCAGCUGUGACUUAUAAACAUUUUUAAGUAUUUCUCAUUCAACAGAUUGGCACAUCCAAGCAUACUUUUAGUUUACUUUUGCGCAUAUGUAAUUAAUAUUCCUAAAACGUGCUAACUAGAGAAAGGGAAACAUCCUAGACAAUUUUGCAGAUGGUAUGUGAACCUGCAGAAUUCUUGAAACCAAGAUCCUUCUAGCCGGAAGAUGAAAUUUAGAUCAAGAUCCUUCAACGUGGUAUGCUCGCUAAUUUGAUCAAUGGGUUUGUCUGUCAUGCGACCAUGUGAAGAUCCUUUCAAAUCGAAGCGCCUAUGGAUUGCAUAGUUGGAGCAGAAAAGAUUCCCCAUUAUAACAAACCGGACCUGUAUUUCAUGUUUACAAAGAUGUUGAACGACUCUCACACAUCAAAUUUAAAUUUGUGAAUAUAGCAGUCUGACCUUUUUCUGAAUAGCUCCUGUAAGUUUAACGCAGUGCAGACCAAAAAAUUUUGUUAAUAGAGUAUUUUCAAAAGCACGGACAUGUUUAUAGUAGGCUGGAAGCAUCCUAAGGAGUACCUGUUCACAUAGAAAACACAAAUUCAAUUAUAUCACUUGUUAAAAGUUAAUCUAAGGUGUGAGUGUGCAUUCAAUGAACUUACUUUAACUUCUGAUUUCUUCAUUGUUUUGAUCAUGUACUUGUCAUCAUUUGUCAGGUAAAAGAAACUUCCACUUUUCCCAGGUGAUGAAAGUUCCCUGAGUGCCUCAUCCCCGCAAAUGGAGAUCAUGUAAUCAGCAGGGUCGACAUCGAAGAGCUUGCGCAAAGUCCUGGAGCGAAGUACAGAAGAACAAAUUAGCUCUGCAUUGUAGAUAGGAAGCAAUAACAGUAAUAUCACAAAAAUUACUACCACAUGAAAGGAAAAAAAUGGCAUCAUAAAGGUUAAUCAUAUAGUGGUCCAUAAAUCAUAAUGACCUGAAAACCAAGGGGCAGUAGUCUUUCCACCGAAAAUCGCACGAUUGGUGAGGAGGAGUAUGCUUUGAUCCCUCAGGUGGAAAUCUUGUCCAAACUUUUUCUUUUGGAUCAAAUGCUGAUGAUUUAAGGUCCAGCGAAGUUGGCGCCGACUGCCUUCCAACAGCAUGCCUGUUUCAAAUUUAAAAGACGAAUUGAAUGGGAACUUCAGAUUCAGAAAAACAGCAGUAUGUGCAUCUGAAAACAAAAAGGAGAUCGAUCGAAUGGUAGUAAAGACGACUAAAGAACACAAUAUUAUUAGGCAAGAAGCAGAGCUAGAUACCUUAUGCCAAGCUGCAGGUUGAGCAUGAGCUCGUAGUUCCUGUGCCCCUUGGAAAUCGUCUCCCCCUGCUUCUUCCCCGGCCUCGGCGGCGUGCGCAUGCAUGACGACGUGCGCAAGCAUGACCUGUCCGUCCGCGCCUCCUCGCUCUCACCCUCGGCCUGCAGGCUGUCCAGGUCCAGCGACACGCUGCUCCUCCUGCUCACGCUGGACCUCCUCCCGUGGUCGGCGCUGACCUUGGGCGGCCGCCACACCGGCUUCUUCUGCACGGCCUCCACCCCUGGCCACGUCAGUAUCUUGUGCGACGGCAUCAGCGACGCCUUCUUCCCCUCGCAGGCCUCGAGCUCCUGGAGCAGCGUCGUGAUGGGCUCGCACGGCUCCCGAGGCACGGGCACCGCGGGCCCACCGGACGGCGGGUAGUACACGCCGUCGGCGUGCACCGCGCCGGACUCUUCGCACCAGGUGCCGAUGUACAUCCCGCCGUCGGCCCACCGGAACGUGCCCUGGCCCUUGGGCCUGGCAUCCUCCCACGCGCCGUCGUAGCGGUCGCCGUCGGCCCAGAUCACGGUGCCGCACCCGUGCAUGUCGCCGGCCUUCCAGGUGCCGAUGUACUCGUGGCCGUGGCGCCAGAUGUAGCGGCCGUGGCCGUCCUGCAGGCCGUCGCGCCAGUGGCCGUCGUACACGUCGCCGUUGGCGUACGCCUGCGUGCCGCGGCCGUGCCGGAGGUUGCUCGCCCAGAGCCCCGCGAAGGUGUCCCCGAACUCGCCGAUGUAGGUGCCGUGGCCGUGCAUGUAGCCGCCGGCGAAGUCGCCCUCGUAGGUGGCGCCGGACGUCCACGAGAACUUGCCGCGGCCGGACGCGCGGCCGCGGCGCCACGAGCCCUCGUACAUGCUGCCGUCGGUCCAGAGGAACUUGCCGGCGCCGUGCGGGAGGUCCCCGCGCAGGUCGCCCUGGUAGAAGUCCCCGCUGGGCAGCAGCUGCUCGGCGUGGGUGGGCUCGCCGAGCGCGGCGGCGUCGGCGUCCUCGUCGCCGGCGUCCGAGUCGUUGCCGCCCUCGGUGCUGGUGUCGCUGUCCUCGCCAUCGUCGUGGUACUGGUAGAUUGUGCUGGACGCCGAGGAGCUGACGGAGAGGAGGCAGGGCGUGGCGGCGUCGGAGGCGCUGCCGUCGACGGGGCCCGCAGCGGGCGCGACGGUGCCGACGCGGCGGAUGGUCUGGAGCUUUCGGAUGCUCGCCUCCCACAGCCGGCUGGCCGGGGCAGGGAGCUGGCUCAUCUUCCUCGCCGACGUCGUCAUGUUGGCGCAGUCAGGUCGAAGGACGUGGCGAGAGGUCAACACGACCGGGCCGGAGCGAGUCGGUGGUGCAUGGCGGUGGCGCAGGAGCAGGAGGAGCAGGACAAGGCUGUUUUGGGCUUGGAUUACGAGUCGUUUUCAAUGCGGAAGGACAUGACCUCUGGCUGGCCGAAGGCUGGGAGGAGUUGUCGGGGUGGGAGCCGAGGAGAGCUCGGGAGCGCAACAUUUGGAGGGAAGCGCCUCGGCCGUUGAGGCGUUCCACUACUGCUCUGUUGCCACAGAAUAGGGGUGCGGUUGGCUACGCUUCAUGCGACAAAUCGCCAAUUGACGCUUGAAGCGCGCAGCAUGCACUACUAUCUAUUUUUUUUUCCCACAAAGCUCAAUUUUAUUAGAAGAAAAUUACACUUUCAAAUUGAAUUUCUGUUAUACCACUAUAUUUUUUAAUACGACAAGAUCUUCAUAAUAUGAUUACACUUAAUUACAGCAAGAAAAUAAAAAAAUACUUGAAUAGUUAAGUAUGGCUUCCUACGAUGUAGCAAUCCUCCAACUAUGGGGGUGUUCGGCUGAGCUUCAAAUAAGCUGCAGCCGCUUAUUUGAACAGUAAAAAUAGAGAGAAGUAAAAAAAAAAAAGCUCUGCUGCUUAUUUUGACUGAUUCGAACAGACCUAAUAUAUCUCGUCCAUCUGCUGCUUGGUGUACUUCGUUGCACUCCCAAAUGACACAUACACCACCGACUUCUCCGGGUGAGUUGAAGCCACUCCAUGUGUACCUCUUCUCGUCGACGCUAUCGUGAAACAACUGGAUCCGUGCUUCCGACCAUGGGACCAACGGUAAGCACACCCAAGUGCCGCUUCAUCUCCCUAGCUAAGCACGUUCGCCUCCAGCUCGCCUCACAAGCACCUUCGGCCGCCAUUGGUGAUUGGUCCAUGUACUCGAACAGUUCUUGGUGGAGAGGCACUCGGAGCUUGCACGACGCCUGAGCCAGCUCGGUCGUCGGCGUCCUUGGCCCAGGAGCCAUCGUCGACACCAUCGGAGUAGGGAACGUAAGAUAUGGCACCGUAGCGGUCUCCGGCGAAGGGAACGUACAUGCGGCGGUAGGCGGCAACCGGCACGGAGAGCGUGGCCAGAAUGGAGCCAUCGGCGCCGAGCCGGGCGAGACGGUGCGCGAGGACGCGACCUGGGUUGAUGUGGCUUUGGACGCCGUAGGCCACCAGCAGGAGAUGGUGGCGGCCGUGGUGGAUGUUGAACAAGUUAAUAAGUGUACAAAACAGCAGUUCAAGCAAAGAAAAAAAAAACAAUCGGUGGCCAUGUUCACCCAAUCUGUCAUUUGCUGAUGAAGUGAUGAACACGAUAAAAGAAUCCACUGUAUAUCGCUUGCAAAUCAUGGAGGCAGCAACCUCAAUAUGGAAGCAGACUUGUAGACUGAACUGAAGAUGGACUACUGAAAUUGUUCCGUUCAAGUGUACGAUUUCAUUUAGGGUUAGUUUGGCAGUGCUCUACCUCCAUUUUCUCCUGCGGUUCAGUUGAAGCUCUACUAAACAAUUUGGUUAAAAACGGCUUCACCCUGGAGUACUAGAGGAGCUGGAACCGGAGCCGUUUUAUAUGCAGGGUUGGUCCUGAGAUUUGGGAGGCUUGGGGCGAAGUAAAACUAAGGGUCCUUUAAUAUAAACAUUAUAACAAAUAUAUAUGGCAUUAUAACAAACUCGGGACCCUUUAAUAUAAACAAACUCUGAGCCCUUUAAUAUAAACAUUAUAACAAAUGAACUUGGGGUAUUAAAUACACAAUCGUUAUAAAUCAGUUGAGAUUAAAUAAUUUGUGAUAGUGAAUUAAUAAUUAAUGGUACAAAGAAUUGGCAAUCAAAUCACCUAAUCACAAGGUUGGCAAGCAACAAGCCAAGAACCGGCGGUGCGCGGGGUUCUCCGCGCUCGCCGAGGGCUUCCUCGUGGCCGGCGGCGGAGCUUCCUUAGGCGGCCUCCAAUCUUGCACGGCCGGCGGCGGAGCUCCCCUGGGCAGCCCCCGAGCUCGCCUGGCCGGCGGCGAAGCGGCCUUGGGUGGCCCCCUGAGCGCGCCCCGGUCAUGCUCCGCCAGGCGGCUCCUCCUGGCCCGCCUCGCCUCCCGUCAUGCCGGCGCCGACGCCAACACGGCCCUUCCUCCGCCCCAUCCAGCUCUGCAGGCUCGCACAACGCUGCCUCAUGCCACCCUCGCUCACACGCAAAAGAUGAGACAGACCUGCGUCUAAGGGGAAUAUUCCCAUCGGGAACGGAUCCAACCUAUUUUGUUUUUCAGCCAAACGCAGGUCCACAUGGGUCGAACCCGUUCCAAUUAAACCUUCAAACCAAACACUCGUUUAGAGCGGUUGCUGCGCUGCCAAUGGUGUUCACGAGGAAGGGCGGGAUGUUGCAGAUUUGCCGAUUUGGAAUGGGAAUAGCGACGUGUGCAUCAGCGCUGACGUGUUUUGUCAAAGAAGUCAAUUGGUCUGAUGUGUGCGUGCCAGCUGUCCAGUUUAUCUGGAUUCUUCGGAGGAAUAAACUUUUAGACUCGGUGGUCUGGGCAGUGGUGGAAUCUGGGCCAUCGAAUUGUGUAUGAACGGUCCAGAUGCAGCGGACGGCAACCUCCUCCUGUUUUCUCUGAAAAAGCAGAGGCGGCGGUCGGUCUUUCCCCACGAACAGCCGUCUCCUGCCUUCGUUCGCGAUCGAGGGAAGUCUCCGCCGGAGUCAGGGACCUAGGGUUUGAGGAUCGUCGGAAGGGGCGCAGGGUGAGGAGCGCGAGGAGGGGAAGAUGAUCGAGGUGGUGCUGAACGACCGCCUGGGGAAGAAGGUGCGGGUCAAGUGCAACGAGGACGACACCAUCGGCGACCUCAAGAAGCUGGUGGCGGCGCAGACGGGGACGCGCCCCGAGAAGAUCCGCAUCCAGAAGUGGUACAACAUCUACAAGGACCACAUCACCCUCAAGGACUACGAGAUCCACGACGGCAUGGGCCUCGAGCUCUACUACAACUAGCUGCCCUGACUCCACAUGCCUUUGUUAUCAGGUACGAAUCCCUCCCGGAUUCGGAGCUGUUCCUCUUCGUUCCUGCGCGCGUGACUUGGUUUUCGUU